UACGGAGGAUCCAAGCGUUAUCCGGAUUCAUUGGGUUUAAAGGGUGCGUAGGCGGACUGAUAAGUCAGCGGUGAAAUCCCACGGCUCAACUGUGGAACUGCCGUUGAUACUGUCAGUCUUGAGUACAGAUGAUGUGGGCGGAAUAUGACAUGUAGUGGUGAAAUACUUAGAUAUGUCAUAGAACACCGAUUGCGAAGGCAGCUCACAAAACUGUCACUGACGCUGAUGCACGAA
rnacentral:rRNA from 1 species